UACGGAGGGGGCUAGCGUUGUUCGGAAUUACUGGGCGUAAAGCGCGCGUAGGCGGCUUUGUAAGUUAGAGGUGAAAGCCCCGGGCUCAACCUGGGAACCGCGCUUGAGACUGGCACGCUCGAGUUCGGGAGAGGAUGGUGGAAUUCCCAGUGUAGAGGUGAAAUUCGUAGAUAUUGGGAAGAACACCGAUGGCGAAGGCAGCCAUCUGGACCGACACUGACGCUGAGGCGCGAAAGCGUGGGGAGCAAACAGG
rnacentral:rRNA from 1 species